UUUAAAUAGAGCAUCUCAAGGAGCUAGUGGUCUAAGGAACAGAUUUUGAUAACCCUGGGAUAGGAAGAUCAGAGGUUAAAAAGCCAGCAUUUAGGCUGAGCCUUGUAAGAUGGGAGUGACUUAGUCAAAUAAAGAUGGAGUACAGAAUAUUCUAGGCAGAGAGGAGUCAAAGCAAAAAAACCCCAAAGUAUCAUUAUAAUUGAGGGCAGCAAAAAUCUUUUGUAGAAAUAUAUUUAUUCAUGGGGAAAAAAAUGGACUUACUGUUGGAAAGGAUAAAAGCCAAAAUGAUUGCAGUGGACAGUUGCUGUUUUGGCCUGCCAGGAUCCAUCCCCCAUUCUUCAGGAAACAGCAUCAGAAUUUUCCUCGGGGACCCCAAACUGAAAAAGUAUUAGAACUCAACAAAACUUGAUCUGCCUUUGGAAACAACCCUUCUCAUCACACUCACUUUGUGACAUUCAGGUGGUGCUGACUGCAUCCCAGACUCCGGAAGGACCCCCGGUACAUAGUUGUGCAUUUCUAGUUGUGGGUCCUUCUAGCUGUGGCAUGUGGGACACCGCCCCAGCACGGCCUGAUGAGCAGUGCCAUGUCCGUGCCCAGGAUCCGAACCGGCGAAACCCUGGGCCGCCAAAGCAAAGCAUGAACUCAACCACUCGGCCACGGGGCUGGCCCCUGCAUUGGGAUAUUUUUAAAUGACUAUAGAUAGAGUUAUGUGUAUGUUUGUGACAAGUGGAAUCCUCCAAACCAUGAGGCCCAGGCCAGGGACGCCUCAUGUCUCUGGGAAGAAAGAACCGCUAUGGGAUGACCAUUCUGUUGCUCCCCAGAAUUCCUGGGUACACUCUUGCUACCUUAGUCUCCUGGGUAUGCUUUUCCUCUCCAGGGUUGGAGAAGUGGGGGUGGAGAGAGCUGUGAGUGACAGGACGUGAUUUUUGCCCUCAGUCUCACUACUCUCAAAAGCUAUUUUCUAUCUCUCUCAAGGACUAUCUGUAUAAUCUCUGUAAUGACUUAAGUAUUUAAAAAGACUGACUGCAGCUAGCUUCGGAUUUCCGGGUUGGGAGUGGUGAGGAGACAAUCCCUGAGGCAAGGAAUUGUGAAUGGUGUGGCUAUCUGUUUGCAAUAGGAAGAGAGAAGAUUGCAGAAAAAACAAACAGGAAUUAAUAUCUUGAUAAAUUAUCCUGCCACAGUGGCAUGGCUACUUGCUUCUCAAGUGGUGAGAAGGUAAAAUUCAGUUGUUGCUUUCAGCCCCUGAAUUACAAUGGGGGUUAUUCUGGAAAUCAGGUUAGAAAAAUGGAAACAUAUUACAGAUAAAACCUACAAAUCUCACCACUUGGGAGUGAUACAGCUUCGAGGGCCACAUGACAAGGGGUCGGAGUGUGGGCCACAAUCACAAGGUCUUCAGUCAGAGAGACUUUCCCAGAAGCACGGGGUGACAGUCUCUCUCCAGGAACAGGUGCCGUUUAAUAGGACAAUGACUAACUAGCCAGUUGUAUUUUAGUAAGCCUGGCAUGAAAAGAGGGGAUGUUUUGCAUCAGAUCGAGCAGGCAUAAUAACAAUGUAGGUUAGAAGAGUGGUAAAAAAAAAAUUAGGCCCAGAGGAAAAAAUAUCAAAAGUAAAUUGUAAUUUUAUGUUGUGAACUAAUUGGAAGCUUUAAAUGGCAAUUGAAAUGCUUUCUGGGCCUCAGGGAGAUGAUUCGGCCUUCUUCAGGAUGUUUGAACUUAAUUACCAGGUGCAGCAAGAGCCGAAUGAGUUUUGUAAAAAUUACUUAAAAUAAUCAUGUUGGGCACCAGAAAUGGUUAUAUUUAUCUAAGGGCCUUGGCACACCUUUCAAGUUAAAAGAUAAUUUGCAUCAUUGAAAAUUUAGUAGAAUUUUAAUACGUCUACAGAUGAGUGGGAGGAUGUUCGAAAAAUGUGCUCUGUACCUGUCAGGAAUUCACUGGGGUUUAAAAAUGUAUACGGAUUCUUCUAGAGUGGUAUACUAGUAUAUUGGUAGCAAACUGUUUUUAUGUUCUUAAAAAUAUUUUUAAAAGGUAAAAGUAAUAUAAUAACUAUAGAGUUUUCAAAAAACAGAAAAAAAAUUAUCUAGCAUCUUACCAGAAUUCCUUUUUUGUACAAGAACUCAUCUUUUUAUAAACCUUUGUGGCAUAUGGUUUUCAUAUUGUUAUGCAAUUUUGUAUCAUGCUCUUUUUUCCUGGAUUAUAAAGUGUUUUUUCUUAUGUUGCUACCUAUCCCACAUUUUAAUUUAAAAUUUUAAUGAUUGCAUCAUAUUAUUUCUAGGAGAUGUGCCAAAAAUUUACUUAACUAUUGUCUGUAAGAUAAAAUGUUUAGCUUUUUCCCAAUUUUUGCCAUUAAAAAUAAAAAUGCAAUCAAUGCACUGUGUGCAAAGUGCCCCUCCUUCAUCUCUUGUUUUGGUUCCAGACUUCCAAUUAUUUCCAAGAAGUGGGAUUAAUGGGUAAAAGGGUAUAGGACAUUUUCUUGGCCCUGAAUAUAUAUGGUUAAAUUAUUUUACAAAAGAGUUGUUCCAAUGAAAUAAAAUGCUACAAUAUUUCAGACUGGCACAUCCUUUGUACUCACUAGCAAUUUGUCUUUCUCUCUCUUUUCUUUUUGUCUAAUUUAAUAAUAGCUGUCUUUUAAUUUAGGUUUCUUUAAUUGUGAG
ensembl:lncRNA